AAGAGCUUUUACUGAUUCUGCUUCAACACACACCAUGAUCUCUACAUCACUACUGCUGCUGCUGCUGGCAGCCGUACACUGUGGUCUCUGUGUUGAGCUGAUCCAGACCAGAUCCACAGUAAUAACCCCUGGUCAGUCACUGACUCUGAGCUGUAAAGUGUCUGGAUAUUCAGUAACAAGUACCUACUGUACACACUGGAUACGACAACCUGCAGGAAAAACUCUGGAGUGGAUCGGACGCAUAUGUUAUGAUGGGAGCACUGCCUACAGUGAGAAACUGAAAAGCAGCUUUCAGGUUACCAGAGACACGUCCAGCAACACAGUCACAUUAACAGGACAGAACAUGCAGACUGAAGACACAGCUGUGUAUUACUGCGCUCGUGACACACAGUGAUACACAUCAACAACAUCCCUGUACAAAAACAUCCUGUACAGAAAACUGUUCAUAAGCAAAAUCAGAAAUACAACAUUUUAUCAGUUUG